rnacentral:tRNA from 1 species
UGGAGUGUUGUCCGAGUGGCUGAAGGAGCAUGAUUGGAAAUCAUGUAUACGGGCUUUACCUGUAUCGAGAGUUCGAAUCUCUCACACUCCGUUGG